UUCUCUAUACAGUCUCGUAAGCCAGAAGGCAGCACCAACAGUAUACCCUUAGCGCUCUGGCCUUUAUGGAGAUAUUUCAUACAAAGGCAUAGCUAUGUAGAAUUAAAAAAACACCACUAUACUUUCUUGCCUUCUUCUCCAUUCCUUCAAUUCUUUUUCUUCCUCAUUCCUGCUUUUAAGGGAAGGAAGUACAGCAGUUCUGCAUUUAAACAGCUGUAAUAAUACGGCUUUCUUGCCACUUUCCAUCUGAAUCGUCUGUCCACCAGUCUUGAAUGGUAAUACAAUCUAAACCGAUUUCACUGAAGCACACACCGCAAACAAAUCCCUCGCUCCAGUCUCAAUGAAGGCUAAUGAAAACAAUGAAAGCCGCAAUGAGAGAGCAGUUUUCUCUCUUCACCUAUGGAAAUGGGAGUAAUGGAGGUGAGGCCAGAGAGACAGGCAAAGACCAGAACAUUCAGGGCCACGCAGGAGGUGUUAGAAAAUUAGGAGUUUAUUGUGAAGACUCCGAGGAGCUACUAAAGACUUGAACCUGGAAUGAGACAAGCCCCUGUGUGCUUUGGAAUCAUCAUUCUGACUGCAAAGUGGACACAGAGCAGCAUGGGAGCAAACAGGAGCGAGAAGAUGGAUCUGAAGGCUGCUGUGGUCGUCAGGUUAGAGGAGCUGCGGUCCUGAAUGAUGGUGGUGGAGGCAGGCUAGCAAUUAGAGAAACAAUACAGAAUCUUGCACCUCUCUUCCACAUUUCACAUGAGAAUAAAUACAAGCUAAUAUGUACCUAAUAAUAAACAAAUCAAACUUUUCUCAAAGUUAAAAUGCCAUCCUUAAAGCAAAAAGUAGAUAGUAGCCUUCUAGAAAGCAAUGGGAGAAGCAAAUUGGUGUUCUCUGCCUGCCAGUGGACAAGCUAAAGGCUGCUGAGUUCCUGGGACCAUGCUGUGUCAUUUCCUUACUUCCUGGGACUCACAGCUGUCCUUAUCCUUGCGAAGGUUUAGCCCAGCUUCCAAACUCCAGUGGGUUCCUCAAUACUUAUUUUGACAAGUGUGUUCUCCCUGAAGCCCCAGGAUGCACUGCUGCUAGUGUCAAACUUUAGUUCUCACAUGUAGCAAAGAAUUUGCUCUUUUGGCUGGCAGUGUGUUUCUCAUGAAUGAACUGUAGAUCACUCUGGGAAAUCUCUCUGUCCCUGUGAAUGACUGUUGAGUCAGGAAUUCCUCAACUGUGAAUUAUUAAGGCUGUAGAGGUACAGCAGUUAAAAAUGGCAGUUAACACCUAGAAAAUGAAGGCCUUCGAAUUUCUACAUAUUUUGCUACUAAGUGACAUCAGUUGGAACCACAGUCUUCCAGCCUUAAUCACUGAAAAUUCUGAAUAAAAUAUACUCAUUUUACCCUCAGCUUUUCUUCUGAGUUUGGCAAACUACAGCCUGCAAACCAAAUCCAGCAAACCAAAUCCUUUUGUAAUUAAAGUUUUAUUGGAACCCAACCCCACCUAUUGUUUACAUACUGGCUCUGACUGCUUUCACAUUCCAACAGCUGAGCUGAGUAGUUGGGACAAAGACCUUAUAGCUUACAAAGCCAAACAUAUUUACUAUGUGGCCCCUACAGAAAAAGUCUGCAGAAGUCUGCUCUAAGUGAAGCAGCACCUAAAAUAUUCUCUUUAAUAAACGUUAUUGAAAGGAUAAAAAUGAACAGUCAUCGAAAUCACAAAAGAAGAAGAAAGGUUUAAAAACACCCCAAAGCUACAGCCCAUAUCUUCUUUACACUCAGAUGUAUAAAACUCGAGAGCUGCUUGAGAGUGGAGCACACUGGAAACCACCCACCUGUGACAUCAGCAGAUGGAAAGGCUGUCACUUUUCUAAAAGGGAUCCUAGGGAGGCCGAUUAACCUGUUAGAAAACCAUUUAAGGGAUAUCUGCCAGUCCCCACAGACAGACUCGAAUUUAAGAGGAUAGAGAUAUCAGAGUGUUUCGUGAGGUACUUAUAAGUUCGGAUCCUUAACGCUGCAAGGAUCCCAAGCGGAGGCUCACACACACUGUGCAGCAGCGUCACUAAUGAAUCCACACCUCCCCCGAUCCCCAUCUGACCCAAAGACAGGAGUUAACACGACCAGAGGACAAACCCUGAGCCUGGAGCAACCACGCCUGUCUGACUAGAGUAACCUUUCCUCUUAUAAUAGGAAAGCUUCGGUACCACUCCGUGAACAGAGAGAGUACCUGCUUUAAUAAAUCUGGGCAUGAGAACGCAAAAUCCUUCUUCAUUUCCACCUCAGAAAGAAUCAUCCAGCACUGUUUUAACUUCACCACAGCAUGAUCUCCCUGUGGGUUCCCGGAGGCACUUGUGGUAAUCCUUAUUCGUUUCAUGGCCUGUACAGAAUAAAACCCAUCCAAAUCAAAUACCCUGCCUUCCCAUAGCUUCCCCCACUUUCAGCUUGCCUCCCCUGGCCAAGCUAGCAUGAAGUACAAAAUAUUGAUGGGAAAGGCACUAUACACGCUUGAAGAGCCUGUCAAAUUACCAUUCACCCUAUAUUUUCUUAUCUCAACAUGUAUAAUAGUAAAUAUAAUGGAUUAGUAAAUGUUGGAGCAUAGCUCUGGCAAUUAAUGGAAUAAAAUCUUCUUGGGGUACAUGUUCUAUCCCCUCCUCUCACCGCCAUAUACAAAGUCUCUGGUGUAAGAGCUCUUGUGUGACAGACAAAUAACAGCACUUUCCCCAUAGGCUUAAUUCCUCUCCCGUCUCCUUUUUUACUUAGACUCUGCUAUUAAUUUUCACCUCUGACAGUAAAAACCCCAGGACAAGAUUGUCACAAAAAGCAUUAUCUUUCAGACCAAUGGUGAACUCGAUUCCAAACCCCACUAUUUAUCAGCCUGCGGCAAAAGUGCAACUGCUUAGGAAAUAUGUCCUCUCUUUCAAAUGCAUGUUCAGUUCAUCUAGGCAACAUUUCACCUCAUUCUACAUGAAUUCAAUACCCUGACUUUUCACCCAUAGAUGCAUAAUCAUAAAGUAUAUAUUACCAGCCAAAAGUGAUCUUUUCAGUAUCCUUUUAUAGGUGAUACAGAGUCCUUCACUUUCAGCUUAAUAUGUUUAUAAUACACCAGGUACAUGUUAUUUUUUUUUCAGUUAAACUUUCUAACUCUAAAAAUGAAGGUAAAAAUAUAGACUAAAUGGCAACAGGGACAAUAGGAAUAGACAAGAUUAGCUAACCUACUUCCACACUACUUCUUGAUAGAUUUUUGGUCUCCCACAUCUCCCCUGCUA